UGUAAUGGACCACCAAGGCGACGAUGGUUAGCUGGUCUGAGAGGAUGAUCAGCCACACUGGAACUGNNNCACGGUCCAGACUCCUACGGGAGGCAGCAGUGGGGAAUUUUGCGCAANNNNNGAAACCCUGACGCAGCAACGCCGCGUGAGUGAUGAAGGCCUUCGGGUCGUAAAGCUCUGUCAGUGGGGAAGAAAUGGAACGUGUUAAUAUCACGUUUUCUUGACGGUACCCACAAAGGNNNCACCGGCUAACUCCGUGCCAGCAGCCGCGGUAAUACGGAGGGUGCAAGCGUUGUUCGGAUUUAUUGGGCGUAAAGCGCGUGUAGGCGGUUUCUUAAGUCUGAUGUGAAAGCCCCGGGCUCAACCCGGGAAGUGCAUUGGAUACUGGGAGACUUGAAUACGGGAGAGGGUAGUGGAAUUCCUAGUGUAGGAGUGAAAUCCGUAGAUAUUAGGAGGAACACCGGUGGCGAAGGCGGCUACCUGGACCGAUAUUGACGCUGAGACGCGAAAGCGUGGGGAGCAAACAGGAUUAGAUACCCUGGUAGUCCACGCCGUAAACGAUGAGAACUAGGUGUUGCGGGUAUUGACCCCUGCAGUGCCGCAGCUAACGCAUUAAGUUCUCCGCCUGGGAAGUACGGUCGCAAGACUA
rnacentral:rRNA from 1 species